AUCUAGGGCCAUACCACCACGAAGGCACUUGCUAAUUUCUGAGCUCAGAAGCUAAAGCAAAGUUAGCGUGAUUAGUAGUUGGUUGCAAGACCACCUGGGAAGACCAGGAGCUGCAGACC
rnacentral:rRNA from 1 species